rfam:Bacillus sp. MTM 13 99, whole genome shotgun sequence.
UUUGGUGGCGAUAGCGAAGAGGUCACACCCGUUCCCAUUCCGAACACGGCAGUUAAGCUCUUCAGCGCCGAUGGUAGUUGGGGGUUCUCCCCCUGUGAGAGUAGGACGCCGCCAAGC